CACAUCCGACAGGGGAGCGCACAGCGCUGAGAGUGCGGGCCGGUGCCCGCAGACCCUCGAACCUGAUCUGGGUAAUGCCAGCGCAGGGAGUUCGGUCGACCUCCAGC
rfam:Micromonospora aurantiaca ATCC 27029, complete genome.